rnacentral:lncRNA from 1 species
CUCUCUACGACCCUCACAACCUCAUAACCCUUCCGCCGCGCCGUCUCCUCACCCUCUCCGUCCGUCCACCACGCGAGCCACAAACACACAACACUCCGGUAUACCUUCAACCUCGCCGUUCACCAAAUCCCGUCUUCACCACGACCACCCCACGAGAACCGCCAAGCUCCGACGGGACAAGUUUACAGAAUUUCAAAUUUUAAACAUAUU